rnacentral:rRNA from 1 species
CGUAGGUGGUUUGUCGCGUUGUUCGUGAAAUCUCACGGCUUAACUGUGAGCGUGCGGGCGAUACGGGCAGACUUGAGUACUGCAGGGGAGACUGGAAUUCCUGGUGUAGCGGUGGAAUGCGCAGAUAUCAGGAGGAACACCGGUGGCGAAGGCGGGUCUCUGGGCAGUAACUGACGCUGAGGAGCGAAAGCGUGGGGAGCGAACAGGAUUAGAUACCCUGGUAGUCCACGCCGUAAACGGUGGGUACUAGGUGUGGGUUUCCUUCCUUGGGAUCCGUGCCGUAGCUAACGCAUUAAGUACCCCGCCUGGGGAGUACGGCCGCAAGGCUAAAACUCAAAGAAAUUGACGGGGGCCCGCACAAGCGGCGGAGCAUGUGGAUUAAUUCGAUGCAACGCGAAGAACCUUACCUGGGUUUGACAUGCACAGGACGCCGGCAGAGAUGUCGGUUCCCUUGUGGCCUGUGUGCAGGUGGUGCAUGGCUGUCGUCAGCUCGUGUCGUGAGAUGUUGGGUUAAGUCCCGCAACGAGCGCAACCCUUGUCUCAUGUUGCCAGCGGGUAAUGCCGGGGACCCGUGAGAGACUGCCGGGGUCAACUCGGAGGAAGGUGGGGAUGACGUCAAGUCAUCAUGCCCCUUAUGUCCAGGGCUUCACACAUGCUACAAUGGCCGGUACAAAGGGCUGCGAUGCCGCGAGGUUAAGCGAAUCCUUUUAAAGCCGGUCUCAGUUCGGAUCGGGGUCUGCAACUCGACCCCGUGAAGUCGGAGUCGC